UACGGAGGGGGCUAGCGUUGUUCGGAAUUACUGGGCGUAAAGCGCACGUAGGCGGAUCAGCAAGUUAGGGGUGAAAUCCCGGGGCUCAACCCCGGAACUGCCUUUAAAACUGUUGGUCUGGAGUCCGAGAGAGGUGAGUGGAAUUCCGAGUGUAGAGGUGAAAUGCGUAGAUAUUCGGAGGAACACCAGUGGCGAAGGCGGCUCACUGGCUCGGUACUGACGCUGAGGUGCGAAAGCGUGGGGAGCAAACAGG
rnacentral:rRNA from 1 species